UCACCCUCUGUAUAAGUUUAGCCAAGAGUGGACAAUCAGCUCCCAACAAACUUAUUUAGCUAGUUAAAAAGGAACCAGUGGGGCCCAAAGCUUAGAGGGCUGCGUCUAUACUCAAAGAAUAUAGAUUAUUGGUACGUAACUACAGUUCUAUUUUGUACAGGCUUCGCCCGCCAAGGCUAUCGCUAUUGGGAUAAGGAUGGAGUAGGAUGUGGUCCACGCUGCACUGGCUCUGUCCGAUUCUCUUGAAAAUAACCAGGUUGAUUCUCCUGCUUUUGUACCUGAUGAAUCUGGAAUUGAAGGUUGAUUCUCCUGCUGCUGUUGUCCCAGAUGAAUCUGAAAAUGAAGGAGAAGGAGUUGAAGAGGACUCCUGUCACAGGAGGAAGAAUCAAGAGCCUAGUUUGAAGGAGGCAAGACAAAUAGGAAUGCCAUGCCAAUCUGUGGCCUGCCAAAAGUCCACUAAACUGCACUGCAGAGAACUAGAAGAAUUGAAGAGGGAGGAGAUCUUUAAAUAUUUCUGGGGGAAAUUGUACUGGAAAGAGAGGAACUUUUUAUGAAAUCUUUGGUGGAGAUGAGCAGUGUAAAGCGGCGGCAGACGAAUCCAGGAGGUCAGCAUGCAUUUUUUGUUACCUUGUAGUGAGAGUGGGAGAAGAAUCAGAGUGUGCCUGUUAACAUGUUCCUGUUAACACUAGGCAUAAAGCAGUGGUGUUUUUUUGAAGUGGGUAGGAAGAAGAGGGAAAACUCCUGAGAAGACAGAGAGUGAAGGUGAGGACAGAAGAGCAAGAUUUCCUUAAGACCUUCCUUCUGGACCUUCCAAAACUUCCAUCUCACUACUGUAGGUCCUCUUCGUCAAAGAUGUACCUGGAGCCUGUGUUCAACUCCAUCAGUCACCUCCACACAGAGUAUAAGCGCUUUAGUGCAGAACAUGGCAUCCUGCCUCCGUCAAGGCAUGUUUUCGCCAACAUUUCUUUUUCAACCAGACCAGCGUGAUACCUGCUAUGCAUUCAAGGCUGGGAACAUCGAAGCUGCCACAUGGGAAGAGCACUGCUUUAAAAAAGACACUGCACAAGCUAUGAAGCUAUGAAGAAGGACAAAGAAGAGGCAGAAACAACGUGGACGGCACUAUGGAGUACAAGAUUCUCCACUCAGACGACUGGGAACCCUAGUCAUUCUCAUCUCUCAGGAAGAAGAGAAGUGUCACCAGAGUGUCCCCACUGCACACUUCCAGCCAGAAAAUUAAAG